rnacentral:rRNA from 1 species
AGCGAACGCUGGCGGCAGGCUUAACACAUGCAAGUCGAGCGGGCCCUUCGGGGUGAGCGGCAGACGGGUGAGUAGCACGUGGGAACGUACUCUUUGCUUCGGAAUAGCGUUGGGAAACUAGCGCACUUCCCGGAUACGCACCUUAGGGGGAAGGACUGCUGCCGAAGGAUCGGCCCGCGUCUGAUUACUUAGUGGGUGGGGUAAUGGCCUACCAAGGCGACGAUCAGUAGCUGGUCUGAGAGGAUGAUCAGCCACACUGGGACUGAGCCACGGCCCGGACUACUACGGGAGGCAGCAGUGGGGAAUAUUGGACAAUGGGCGCAAGCCUGAUCCAGCCAUGCCGCGUGAGUGAUGAAGGCCUUAGGGUUGUAAAGCUCUUUUGUCCGGGACGAUAAUGACGGUACCGGAAGAAUAAGCCCCGGCUAACUUCGUG